rnacentral:rRNA from 1 species
CACGUAGUUAGCCGGGGCUUCUUAGUCAGGUACCGUCAUUUUCUUCCCUGCUGAUAGAGCUUUACAUACCGAAAUACUUCAUCGCUCACGCGGUGUCGCUGCAUCAGGGUUUCCCCCAUUGUGCAAUAUUCCCCACUGCUGCCUCCCGUAGGAGUCUGGGCCGUGUCUCAGUCCCAAUGUGGCCGUCCACCCUCUCAGGCCGGCUACUGAUCGUCGGCUUGGUGAGCCGUUACCUCACCAACUACCUAAUCAGACGCGGGUCCAUCUUACACCACCUCAGUUUUUACCUCUGUACCAUGCGGUACCGGGGUCUUAUGCGGUAUUAGCAGUCAUUUCUAACUGUUAUCCCCCUGUGUAAGGCAGGUUACCCACGCGUUACUCACCCGUCCGCCGCUCAGUCACAAAAAUCUUCAUCCGAAGAAUCAAACUUAUGCGCUUCGCUCGACUUGCAUGUGUUAAGCACGCCGCCAGCGUUCAUCCUGAGCCAGGAUCAAACUCU